UACGAAGGGGGCGAGCGUUGUUCGGAAUUACUGGGCGUAAAGGGCGCGUAGGCGGCCGAUCAAGUCAGAUGUGAAAGUCCUGGGCUUAACCGGGGGACUGCAUUUGAUACUGAUUGGCUUGAAUGCAGGAGAGGAUAGCGGAAUUCCCAGUGUAGAGGUGAAAUUCGUAGAUAUUGGGAAGAACACCGGUGGCGAAGGCGGCUAUCUGGACUGUGAUUGACGCUGAGGCGCGAAAGCGUGGGGAGCAAACAGG
rnacentral:rRNA from 1 species